GACGAACGCUGGCGGCGUGCUUAACACAUGCAAGUCGAACGGAAAGGCCUGCUUUCCCUUGUGGAUUGCGGGUACUCGAGUGGCGAACGGGUGAGUAACACGUGAGUGAUCUGCCCCCAACUUGGGUAUAAGCCUGGGAAACUGGGUCUAAUUCCCGAUAGGACUGCAGGGUGGUGCCUGUGGUGGAAAACGAUUUUCUAGUGGUUGGGGAUGAGCUCGCGGCCUAUCAGCUUGUUGGUGGGGUAAUGGCCUACCAAGGCGGCGACGGGUAGCCGGCCUGAGAGGGUGGACGGCCACAUUGGGACUGAGAUACGGCCCAGACUCCUACGGGAGGCAGCAGUGGGGAAUAUUGCACAAUGGGCGGAAGCCUGAUGCAGCGACGCCGCGUGGGGGAUGACGGCCUUCGGGUUGUAAACUCCUUUCGACCGCGAGGAAGCCACCUGGUUGGAAGGGUGGUGACGGUAGUGGCAGAAGAAGCACCGGCUAACUACGUG
rnacentral:rRNA from 1 species